UGGGGAAUAUUGCACAAUGGGCGCAAGCCUGAUGCAGCGACGCCGCGUGAGGGAUGGAGGCCUUCGGGUUGUAAACCUCUUUCGCCAGUGAAGCAGGCCAUCUUCUUUGUGGGGUGGUUGACGGUAGCUGGAUAAGAAGCGCCGGCUAACUACGUGCCAGCAGCCGCGGUAAUACGUAGGGCGCGAGCGUUGUCCGGAAUUAUUGGGCGUAAAGAGCUCGUAGGCGGCUGGUCGCGGCUGUCGUGAAAUCCCCUGGCUUAACUGGGGGCUUGCGGUGGGUACGGGCCGGCUUGAGUGCGGUAGGGGAGACUGGAAUUCCUGGUGUAGCGGUGGAAUGCGCAGAUAUCAGGAGGAACACCGGUGGCGAAGGCGGGUCUCUGGGCCGUGACUGACGCUGAGGAGCGAAAGCGUGGGGAGCGAACAGG
rnacentral:rRNA from 1 species